UGGGGAAUAUUGGACAAUGGGCGAAAGCCUGAUCCAGCCAUGCCGCGUGAGUGACGAAGGCCUUAGGGUUGUAAAACUCUUUCGUCGGGGACGAUAAUGACGGUACCCGAAGAAGAAGCUCCGGCUAACUUCGUGCCAGCAGCCGCGGUAAUACGAAGGGAGCUAGCGUUGUUCGGAAUCACUGGGCGUAAAGCGCACGUAGGCGGAUCUAUAAGUCAGGGGUGAAAUCCCGGGGCUCAACCUCGGAACUGCCUUUGAUACUGUAGAUCUCGAGUCCGGAAGAGGUGAGUGGAAUUCCUAGUGUAGAGGUGAAAUUCGUAGAUAUUAGGAAGAACACCAGUGGCGAAGGCGGCUCACUGGCCCGGUACUGACGCUGAGGUGCGAAAGCGUGGGGAUCAAACAGGAUUAGAUACCCAUGUAGUCCCUGAGCGGGCUGGCAAGGCGCAU
rnacentral:rRNA from 1 species